UACGGAGGGUGCAAGCGUUGUCCGGAAUCAUUGGGUGUAAAGGGUGCGUAGGCUGGCGCCUAAGUCUGGGGUGAAAUCUUGCCGCUUAACGGUAAAAUUGCCUUGGAUACUGGGUGCCUUGAAUCUGACAGAGGUCGGUGGAAUUCGUGGUGUAGCGGUGAAAUGCAUAGAUAUCACGAAGAACACCAGUGGCGAAGGCGGCCGGCUGGGUCAGUAUUGACGCUGAGGCACGAGAGCGUGGGGAGCGAACAGG
rnacentral:rRNA from 1 species